AUACUUACCUGGAAGGGAAGGGACCAUGAUCACACAGGUGCUUUUCCCAAGGCGAGGCUCAUCCAUUGCACUUGGGAUGUACUGACCCCUGCGAUUUCCUCAAAUCUGGGAAACUCAACUGUAUUAUUUGUCAUAAUGGAGGCCUGAGUUUUGCUCUCCCUUGGA